rnacentral:rRNA from 1 species
UACGUAGGGUGCAAGCGUUAAUCGGAAUUACUGGGCGUAAAGCGUGCGCAGGCGGCUUUGUAAGUUUGUCGUGAAAUCCCCGGGCUCAACCUGGGAAUGGCGAUGAAGACUGCAAGGCUAGAAUCUGGCAGAGGGGGGUAGAAUUCCACGUGUAGCAGUGAAAUGCGUAGAGAUGUGGAGGAACACCGAUGGCGAAGGCAGCCCCCUGGGUCAAGAUUGACGCUCAUGCACGAAAGCGUGGGGAGCAAACGAGG